CUGCGGAGGGAUCAUUACUGAGUUUACGCUCUAUAACCCUUUGUGAACAUACCUAUAACUGUUGCUUCGGCGGGUAGGGUCUCCGCGACCCUCCCGGCCUCCCGCCUCCGGGCGGGUCGGCGCCCGCCGGAGGAUAACCAAACUCUGAUUUAACGACGUUUCUUCUGAGUGGUACAAGCAAAUAAUCAAAACUUUUAACAACGGAUCUCUUGGUUCUGGCAUCGAUGAAGAACGCAGCGAAAUGCGAUAAGUAAUGUGAAUUGCAGAAUUCAGUGAAUCAUCGAAUCUUUGAACGCACAUUGCGCCCGCCAGCAUUCUGGCGGGCAUGCCUGUUCGAGCGUCAUUUCAACCCUCAAGCUCUGCUUGGUGUUGGGGCCCUACAGCUGAUGUAGGCCCUCAAAGGUAGUGGCGGACCCUCCCGGAGCCUCCUUUGCGUAGUAACUUUACGUCUCGCACUGGGAUCCGGAGGGACUCUUGCCGUAAAACCCCCCAAUUUUCCAAAGGUUGACCUCGGAUCAGGUAGGAAUACCCGCUGAACUUAAGCAUAUCA
rnacentral:rRNA from 1 species